ACGCUCGACACCUACGGGACAGCAGUAGGGAAUCUUCCACAAUGGGCGCAAGCCUGAUGGAGCAACACCGCGUGAGUGAAGAAGGGUUUCGGCUCGUAAAGCUCUGUUGUUGGAGAAGAACGUGCGUGAGAGUAACUGUUCACGCAGUGACGGUAUCCAACCAGAAAGUCACGGCUAACUACGUGCCNNNCGCGAGUAUNGNGGCGNGNGAGAG
rnacentral:rRNA from 1 species